rnacentral:misc_RNA from 1 species
GAUGAAGAACGUAGCGAAAUGCGACACUUGGUGUGAAUUGCAGAAUCCCGUGAACCAUCGAGUCUUUGAACGCAAGUUGCGCCCGAAGCCAUUAGGCCGAGGGCACGCCUGCCUGGGCGUCACACGUCGUUGCCCCCCCAUCUAAUCCUUCGGGAUUGCGGGGGGCGGAUGAUGGCCUCCCGUGCGCCUCGUCGCGCGGUUGGCAUAAAUGCCAAGUCCUCGGCGACGCACGCCACGACAAUCGGUGGUUGCGAAACCUCGGUUGCCCGUCGUGUGCGGUCGUCGCGCAUCGAGGGCUCGAAAAAAUUGCCGGGCUCCGGCUCGACUUUCAACGCGACCCCAGGUCAGGCGGGGUUACCCGCUGAAUUUAAGCAUAUCAAUAAGCGGAGGA